rnacentral:snoRNA from 13 species
UGCCCAGUGAUGAUACCCAUCCUUGCUCCCCGUGCCUCCCAGGGGCUGUGGGCGACACCAUGGCUGCCCCCAGGACAGGCUGGUUGGGCUAUUGGCCUGGGGGCUGAGGGCA